ensembl:lncRNA
GGGAGAACAAUGGAGGUUCAGCUUUUAAGCAGGCGGUGCAUCGUCCGUCUCUCAGUCUGCUUGUGUGUCCUUCCUGUGCGAGUUCUUGGUCUUCUGAUGAAAUUCACACCUCAGAGCAAUCAGGAAGUGGAAAGCAGGUCAUCGCUGACAGACGAGGGAAGAGAAGACGAGCUUCACAAAGACCUGGAAUCAGCAGGUACAAUUGUUUCAAAGAAGACGACAGCGGGUUGGCAAUGAAGAACGAGCUUGUUGAAGCUCGUUUAAAGAUGGCUAGUCAGGUCACGAGAGUAAAAGAGAACUCACAACACGUGUGGAGGUCCGAUGGUGCUGCACAUCCCCCCCAAAAACACCGGACCUGUGACCCCGAACACGCCGCCGAGGAGACGCUCAGCUGCUAGAAUCUUCCGGCCAAUCACCUUGAAUCCAAUGGAGAUUCUGUGGAAAGAACCAAAAACAGGAUUAAUAGAAGCCAACGGAACCUUUGAGGUGUUUGAGUGAAUGAGCUGAAAUCACACAGGAGGCGUCACGAAGCUUCAUCAGCAACGAAGGCUUUCGUACCAACACUUUAUUACACAUAUUACACUAUUACACAUUUCUGAAAGACUCUGUUAUCAACAUCUGAUGAACAUUGUGCCAAAUGCACCUUUAGAAAUAUCUUUACUGAGAAAAAGAGACGUGUUUCGUAC